GAAAGAAACAGCACAGUUCUCUGACAGAACUAAUAAGUUCCUUCAGGAUUUAUUGCAGCCUUCAAAUUAAAGAAAGAAUGCCACCCAUGAUCUGUGUCUCCAUGGAGUUGUCCUUGUCUCCUGUGUACCCACAGCCCCAAGGAGGAUCUGUCCAGCCAACUGUGGGCCUGACUCCUG
rnacentral:lncRNA from 1 species